AUGCUGGUGGGUAUCAUUGCUAGCACCACCUUGUCGGACGGCCGGGACGCCACAUCUUGGCGGUUGGAUCCUCAAGGUGUGUUCACCACUCGGUCCCUGUAUAAUAGGCUUCCGGCGGGCCAGGGACCAGAAGAACUAAAUGGAGUGUGGAAAACUAAGCUUCCGCUGAAGAUUAAGAUCUUCCUUUGGCAACUGAUGAGGGGACGGUUGCCUUCUGGUGAUCAAGUUCGGAAGCGAAACCGUCCAGAAAAUAGGAAAUGUUCGCUCUGUAAUAUCGACGAAGACCUAGACCACAUCUUAUUAUAUUGUACCUUGGUUCAGUUGAUGUGGAGCUAUCUUAGAGAAGUCUAGGGCAAAGGGUGGUGCUCGACUAGCUUCCGUGAGUUAUAUCAGUACUUAGACGCUUUCUCUGGCCAGGCCCGCCGAGUGAUGUGGGUGAACUUUGGGGCCUUGGUGUGGUCCCUGUGGUGUAUUAGGAAUAAACUUGUCAUUGAGCAUGUUUACCGAAGCAGGGCCACUGAUGCGAUUUAUAAAUUGUGUGGGUUCAUGCAGUUAUGGAAACCACUAUGCAGGUGGUGGGAUAGAUCGGCGAUCGACAAGCUGACGAGGAAGUACAAGGAGUUGGCGGCGCGGCUCCUCAUGGUCGUUUAUCCUCCUUGA
rnacentral:rRNA from 1 species